rnacentral:rRNA from 1 species
UACGAAGGGGGCUAGCGUUGUUCGGAAUUACUGGGCGUAAAGCGCGUGUAGGCGGGUCUUUAAGUCAGGGGUGAAAUGCCAGGGCUCAACCUUGGAACUGCCUUUGAUACUGGAGACCUUGAGUCCGGGAGAGGUGAGUGGAAUUGCGAGUGUUGAGGUGAAAUUCGUAGAUAUUCGCAAGAACACCAGUGGCGAAGGCGGCUCACUGGCCCGGAACUGACGCUGAGACGCGAAAGCGUGGGGAGCAAACAGG